rnacentral:rRNA from 1 species
GACGAACGCUGGCGGCGUGCCUAAUACAUGCAAGUUGAGCGCUGAAGGUUGGUACUUGUACCAACUGGAUGAGCAGCGAACGGGUGAGUAACGCGUGGGGAAUCUGCCUUUGAGCGGGGGACAACAUUUGGAAACGAAUGCUAAUACCGCAUAAAAACUUUAAACACAAGUUUUAAGUUUGAAAGAUGCAAUUGCAUCACUCAAAGAUGAUCCCGCGUUGUAUUAGCUAGUUGGUGAGGUAAAGGCUCACCAAGGCGAUGAUACAUAGCCGACCUGAGAGGGUGCUCGGCCUCGUUGGGACUGGGACACGGCCCAAACUCCUACGGGAGGCAGCAGUAGGGAAUCUUCGGCAAUGGACGCAAGUCUGACCGAGCAACGCCGCGUGAGUGAAGAAGGUUUUCGGAUCGUAAAACUCUGUUGGUAGAGAAGAACGUUGGUGAGAGUGGAAAGCUCAUCAAGUGACGGUAACUACCCAGAAAGGGACGGCUAACUACGUG